rnacentral:lncRNA from 1 species
AUCUCCAAAUCCGAGGGGAAUUCUGAGUGAGUGAGUGGCAGGGCCGGGAGCCAUGCCCGAGGGCCACGAGCCUGCAACUCCUUCUUCAUGCCAGAAGUCGCAGCGACCUGUCAUGCCUCCGGCCCUCAUGAGGCCACAGGGCCAGGCACACAUUCUCAGCCCCACCAGGGUAGUGCCAGCAGAGGACAAAGGCUCCCAUUCAGAGUGAACUGCUCCAGCCGCAGGCCCCGAGUGGCCCCUCUGAAGCUAAGCCACCUUCCUCCGUGCACCCCGCUGCCUCCCGCCCAAUUCCACCAGCUUCUCUGAAAUCAAUCAGGUCAAGGUCAAACGGCCAAGGUGAAGCCAAACCCAGGGAAGCAGAUUUAGAGAACUGAACAGACACCUCACUGCCAGCUCACAGUUGUGACUCAGCAGAAAUUCUGGAAUGAAGAGCCAGAUGUAAAUGUUUGUGGAAGAGAAGAGAAUAGAUGCUUGUGGAAUUGGCAGUGCAUGAACAAACGCCACACUGAUGAAGGAGUGAGCGAGUGGGUGAAAGGCUGGGCCCUUCGCUCUGCUGAGCGGCUCUGAGGAAACUUCCUUUAGCAGGCUCAAUAAAUUCAUGGCUCUGGGCUCUCCACAACUGGACUGUCUCGGCUUAAUUUCUUCUUCACAUGAUGGAACAAAGAAAGAAAGCAGGAGAUUCAAGUCUUCAGGCCUAUCCUGGGCUUUGGGCUCUGCCCCAGGAUAACCAGUGCAGGUCGCUGGGGGCUGGCCUUGCCCAGGGCGCACCAAUCUAAAGAGGCUGAGGAGGCCAGAAUGGCAGCAAGC